UGGAUUGCUCACAAUCACACUCACGAACACAGAAUUUUGGAACACAGGAAAUGAGAGGAACAGGGAGCUUUCUUUCUCUUGUUUCACCAUUCUGAUUCUUGCUUUACAAGUAUGAGAGUGACCUCCUAUUUAUAGAGGUACAAAGAGAAUAGAUACAAAUCAUCUAUAGUAUUUGAACACUAAGACUUUCCUCCUCUCCUUCAUUUAAUUGGCCACCAUUCAAAGUCAUUUGUUCAUAUU
rnacentral:lncRNA from 1 species